rnacentral:rRNA from 1 species
UGGGAAUUUGGACAAUGGGCGAAGCCUGAUCCAGCAAUGCCGCGUGUGUGAAGAAGGCCUUCGGGUUGUAAAGCACUUUUGUCCGGAAAGAAAUCCUUGGCUCUAAUACAGUCGGGGGAUGACGGUACCGGAAGAAUAAGCACCGGCUAACUACGUGCCAGCAGCCGCGGUAAUACGUAGGGUGCAAGCGUUAAUCGGAAUUACUGGGCGUAAAGCGUGCGCAGGCGGUUUGCUAAGACCGAUGUGAAAUCCCCGGGCUCAACCUGGGAACUGCAUUGGUGACUGGCAGGCUAGAGUAUGGCAGAGGGGGGUAGAAUUCCACGUGUAGCAGUGAAAUGCGUAGAGAUGUGGAGGAAUACCGAUGGCGAAGGCAGCCCCCUGGGCAAUACUGACGCUCAUGCACGAAAA